rnacentral:rRNA from 1 species
ACGAGCGGCACUAGCGCGGUGGUCCCACCUGACCCCAUGCCGAACUCAGAAGUGAAACGCCGUAGCGCCGAUGGUAGUGUGGGGUCUCCCCAUGUGAGAGUAGGGAACUGCCAGGC